GACAGCGAGGAUGUUGCUAACGAAGAUGGCAGGGAUGCCAAGAGUGCGGAAUGGCACACUGGUCGGGUGGUCCUGCGACGAAGAUUUCCGGGGCGAAAACUUACUACCGAAGCUACGGCAUCAGGAAUGAUGGGUAGGGGAGCUUCCCAUACGGGUGGAAGCAUGACCGUAAGGACAUGUGGACAGUAUGGGAGUGAGAAUGUUGGCAUGAGUAGCGAGAUGUGGGUGAGAAUCCCACAGGCCGUAAACCCAAGGUUUCCAGGGGAAGGUUCGUCCGCCCUGGGUUAGUCGGGACCUAAGCUGAGGCCGAAAGGCGUAGGUGAUGGACAACAGGUUGA
rnacentral:rRNA from 1 species